rnacentral:rRNA from 1 species
GAUGAACGCUGGCGGCGUGCCUAAUACAUGCAAGUCGAGCGAACGGACGAGAAGCUUUCUUUUCUGAUGUUAGCGGCGGACGGGUGAGUAACACGUGGAUAACCUACCUAUAAGACUGGGAUAACUUCGGGAAACCUGAUCUAAUACCGGAUAAUAUUUUGAACCGCAUGGUUCAAAAGUGAAAGACGGUCUUGCUGUCACUUAUAGAUGUAUCCGCGUUGCAUUAGCUAGUUGGUAAGGUAACGGCUUACCAAGGCAACGAUGCAUAGCCGACCUGAGAGGGUGAACGGCCACACUGGAACUGAGACACGGUCCAGACUCCUACGGGAGGCAGCAGUAGGGAAUCUUCCGCAAUGGGCGAAAGCCUGAUGGAGCAACGCCGCGUGAGUGAUGAAGGUCUUCGGAUCGUAAAACUCUGUUAGUAGGGAAGAACAUAUGUGGAAGUAACUGUGCACAUCUUGACGGUACCUAAUCAGAAAGCCACGGCUAACUACGUG